UGGGGAAUAUUGCACAAUGGGCGAAAGCCUGAUGCAGCGACGCCGCGUGAGGGAUGACGGCCUUCGGGUUGUAAACCUCUUUCAGUAGGGACGAAGCGCAAGUGACGGUACCUGCAGAAGAAGCACCGGCUAACUACGUGCCAGCAGCCGCGGUAAUACGUAGGGUGCGAGCGUUGUCCGGAAUUACUGGGCGUAAAGAGCUCGUAGGCGGUUUGUCACAUCGUCUGUGAAAUCCUAGGGCUUAACCCUGGACGUGCAGGCGAUACGGGCUGACUUGAGUACUACAGGGGAGACUGGAAUUUCUGGUGUAGCGGUGGAAUGCACAGAUAUCAGGAAGAACACCGAUGGCGAAGGCAGGUCUCUGGGUAGUAACUGACGCUGAGGAGCGAAAGCAUGGGUAGCGAACAGG
rnacentral:rRNA from 1 species